ACCAGGUUUUCUCCAGAAGGUUUGCCAGUUAUCUCUGAAGCCCACAUCGUUUCUUGGACACCACUCAGACAGCCAGUGUAACGAUGUCAAAGAAUUAACAUGGUUUUGUUAUGUUUAAAUUCCUGUUAAACUUGGGAUCGCAACCAUGGAUUUAUUUUGAAUGAUUUGGUUCUGAAACUUUUAUUUUGAAAAUCCACAACGGAAGUCUGCUACUGGUAAACUGGUUUUCCCAAAGCUUAUCCGUUUAGUAGCAACGAAAGUAACUGAGUAGAUUUCGGUUUUAUGAUCUUGUUUUGAAAUUAAUGGGUUAGACGGUAGAACAAAAAUGGACACGCUGAGCUAGCGGCUAACAGCUAGAGGAGACUGUUGUGUCUAAUAAUUUGAAACUUCCUUUGAUAGUUUGGGCGGAAUCCUGUUGCUGGAAACCCGUGGUUAUUCAUGUCCCAUGUUAUUGCAGAGACCCUCAAAAGGGGGAAUAAACCACACCUGAGCUCUACCCAUCUCGAGUCCAGAGAGUUUUACUCAUACAGCACCAGAAAUAGACACUGAGAGGGGUUACACCAGCAAUUUAAGAAGAACAUGCAGCUAAACAUGUCACUCCUUCUCUGAUUGGGGAGGGGACCAUAGAAAACAACAGGCAUCACGGCAGCAUCUUAGUACCAUCUAAAGGAUCUCCAACACCGUCUGGGUUUACAGCUGUGUCAUCCAGAAAACCACAGUUUGUGUCCCCAUCUGAGCUUUUAUUCUGCCCAUGGAGUGACUGAGCAGAUGGGCUGAGUGGUCCUCUCCAUUACAGAUGUGAUCCAGACCAGUUGGAGACAGAAUAUCAUACAAUUUAAAAAAAAGAAAAACAACACCAACAAAACAAACAAAAACAAAAUUCUAAACUUUUAAUAUUGAUUUAAUAAAAUGAAUAAACCUGUCAUUUUAAUGCAAAGCUGCCUCUUGUUAUUUACAUUUUAGAAUCCUAAUGUUUAUUGGUAAGGUUAAAAAGGUUACAAAUAUCUGAAAAAACAUCAUCACAACAUUCAUCUUGGCCAUACAUAAAGAAUAACAAUAGUUUAAAGUUUUAUUAGUAAUUUGCUGUGUAUCAGCAGAAAUACCACUGAAGUCUUACUUCCCCUUAGCAGUGACCUCGCUGCUGUUUCAGUAUUGCGUUAGGGUGCAAAUAUGAUCAAGAAUCAAUGUCAGACUUCAACAUAUAUAUUCAGUUAAAUUCAGUGAUGGGAAUAACAGUGUUACCUUUUUCAGUAACAAGUAAUCUAACUAAUUACUAUUUCUAUCGUUACAACGCCAUUACCGUUACUAACAAGAAACUCGACCACUUCAAGAUGACACAGCAACAAGGUGCUAUAUACCAUUUUUUAAAUUGUGUUGAUAGGCCACGUAAAACCAGAGUCAUGAUAAACAAUAUAAUACGUGGUGUUUUUUCCUGAAUACUUUUGUCAUGUUUACUGUCCAAGGGCAGCACUAGCAAGCACUCUCUGCUUAUGGCCAAAAAUAAAAACAUAAAACAAAACAAAAGACACCCCUUUCAUGUUGGUGGAAAAAUGUACCAUGUCCACCAAUCAAAAAAUGAUAUGGCAACAUGACAUUUGGUCGAGAGAGAAAGAGCGAAAAGAAAGAGAGAGAGCGACUUUUGAGAUGUCUUGUGUAGUUAGUGUGUAGUGUAGUGGAUAGUUUUGUGUGUCAGAACAAUGAGGCGACUGCUGAAUGUUACAGGUGCUGCUAGAAAGCCACCAAAGGCAGAUUACAGUGUAAACGGUGUCUCCAGGUAGAAAACAGGAGGAGUGAUACACCUGUUGCUGCCAGACCUGCAGGCUGUGAUGUUCUCCUUUAUAGUCGACAGAAAUUCUUUUUUGGAGUGGCACAAAUAAUUUGUGUGGCAUCUUAUUUAAUGCAGAAUACCUGAUUGUUAUGUAAAUAGUUUGAAAUGGCUGCAAAUAACUUUGUUUGCAAAACUUGUGCAUAGG
ensembl:lncRNA